CCAACCGUUGGUGGGAGUUUAGAUGAAGAUGUGGGGAUUAAGCGGUACGAAGUCUCUGACCCACUGACAUUCUCUUUAGUUACUUGGUAGGCACAAACGUCGAUAAUUUGCGACUUUCGAUACUUUCAAUGUCCGUAAUCAGGAUUAUUGGUGGGACGAUAUUUAAGAAAAGAAGGUAACCAUCGUUCGGAAGGGUUACGAACGAUCGAUCGAAUCUCGUCCUGAGAUGCGGUUUAAUCGCGGCUUGGUAACCAGUGUCGCUGCUUGCUUGACAGUUUUCUUCGUCAUUUUAAAUUUAAAGUCGACCAUAGAGACCGUAAACAAUCCGGGGAUAAAUAUAAAAGAGCCUUACGUUGGGGAACAAAAUAUCCACAAGGAUCAGACGUAUCGAUAUGUUACCCCCUCUCUCGCGGAAUUAGCUGCCCGUGGAGCUUUGCCGAAGAUGAACAAACAUAUUUUAAUGUUGACCCGCGUACCCGACGCAGGGGCCGAACUGUUCGUCCUGUUGCUGCAACGUUUGCAGGGCUACAAUGCAUUUAAGCACAUACGAUUGCCGCCUGGCGAUCACGGCCUUCUGUCAACUCUGCAAGAGGAACUUUUGGUAGAAGAAAUUACCAACAUCAUAAGGCAGGAAGCGAUUCCUUUAAGUUUCGACGGAGAUGUCAGAUUCUUGAAUUUUUCCAAGUUCGGCCGAGAGUCUCCAUCGUUUAUUUCUUUAGUAAGGAAUCCUAUAGGAGUGCAAAAUUUUCUGAGAUAUCACGAGAGACGAAGAAAUAUGGUGGAAAAUAGAGCCAUACCCAUAUUUUGCGGCCAAGAUCCUCGAUGCUCAGAAAUAAAUAACAAGUGGGCGUUGCAACGGGCCAAAGCGAAUGUCGUUGAAUGGUAUCCCGUUGUCGGGAUAUUGGAGUACAUGGAACAAUCGAUAGACAUACUGGAAUACAAAUUUCCAUAUUUCUUUCGAGGUGCUAAGCAUAGUUACAAAAAAAUUCAAUCAAAAAAUAGACACUUUCCCGAUCCCACAUUUAUGUUAAAUUCGCAAGAAGGGUAUAACAUUUUGUCGAAACUCUUCGAGGAUGAAAUAGAGUUUUAUCAAUGGUUGAAACUUCGACUUUUGAACGAAACGUCGAGGAGGAAACGGUGAUGGGGGCCAAUAUUUGUCAUCGAAGAAAUUUCGUCACGAGGAUACCAAAGAUAAUUAAUAUUAAAAAAGACACAAAGUAGAAAACGCGAGAGAAGAAAUUAAUUAAUUUUCUUUCGAGUAUCGAUGUUCAAUUUAUUAUACUUUGAUACUUAACAUAAAACAUCUUAUAAUAUCUAAUCCAGGUUAUCUUUAAUAUUGUAUUUAAAUGUAUAUAGCAAUCUUUUUUAAACUCGGCCUCAUUAUAUCACCGAGGAUGAAUUUUUUUUUUUUUACUAAAUAUUUCAACGAAAUGUAUUUAGAAUAAAUACGAAAAUGUACAAGGAAACAUUAGAAAACGCACAAUGAUUAUUUCCUGUUUACCGGUUGUUUAUAUAAUAUUAGCGGGAUAUCAUGUAACGAAGCUCUUAUUAUUUAUUUACACUUUCUUCAAAAAAUGCAAGAUUUUUCAAUAUCACAACUAUCGUAUGAAAUAAAAGAAAAAAAAAAAA